rnacentral:misc_RNA from 1 species
GAAAUGCGAUAAGUAAUGUGAAUUGCAGAAUUCAGUGAAUCAUCGAAUCUUUGAACGCACCUUGCGCUCCUUGGUAUUCCUUGGAGCAUACCUGUUUGAGUCUCAUGAAAUCUUCAAAGUAAAUCUUUUGUUAACUCAAUUGGUUUCUACUUUGGUAUUGGAGGUCUUUGCAGCUUCACACCUGCUCCUCUUUGUUCAUUAGCUGGAUCUCAGUGUUAUGCUUGGUUCCACUCGGCGUGAUAAGUUAUCUAUCGCUGAGGACACUGUAAAAGGUGGCCAAGGUAAAUGCAGAUGAACCGCUUCUAAUAGUCCAUUGACUUGGACAAUACUUUUAUGAUCUGAUCUCAAAUCAGGUAGGACUACCCGCUGAACUUAAGC